AUUGAACGCUGGCGGCAGGCCUAACACAUGCAAGUCGAGCGAGCGGCGGACGUGUGAGUAAUGUAUGGGGACUGCCCGAUAGAGGGGGAUAACUACUGGAAACGGUGGCUAAUACCGCAUACUAUCGGAUAACCCAUAUGGGAUUAGCUAGUAGGUGGGGUAAAGGCUCACCUAGGCGACGAUCUCUAGCUGGUCUGAGAGGAUGAUCGGCUAAACUGGGACAGUGGGACGGACCAGACGCCUACGGAGGCAGCGGUGGGGAAUAUUGCACAAUUGGCGAAAGCCUGAUGGAGCCAUGCAGCGUGUAUGAAGGAGGCCUGCGGGUUGUAAAGUACUUUCCGUCGGGAGGCGGUACCGACAGAAGAAGCACCGGCUAACUCCGUGCCAGCCGCCGCGGUAAUAC
rnacentral:rRNA from 1 species